rnacentral:rRNA from 1 species
UACGGAGGGUGCUAGCGUUGUUCGGAAUCACUGGGCGUAAAGGGCGUGUAGGCGGUCUGUUAAGUCUGAUGUGAAAUCCCCUCGCUCAACGAGGGAACUGCCUUGGAUACUGACGGGCUUGAGUACAGACGAGGUUGGCGGAAUGGACCGAGUAGCGGUGAAAUGCAUAGAUACGGUCCAGAACCCCGAUUGCGAAGGCAGCUGACUAGGCUGUUACUGACGCUGAGGCACGACAGCGUGGGGAGCGAACAGG